UACGGAGGGUGCAAGCGUUAUCCGGAUUCACUGGGCUUAAAGAGUGCGUAGGUGGCUUUGUAAGUCAGUGGUGAAAUCUUAGAGCUUAACUCUAAAACUGCCAUUGAUACUGCUUAGCUUGAAUCACGUCGAGGUGGAUGGAAUAUUACAUGUAGCGGUGAAAUGCUUAGAUAUGUAAUAGAACACCGAUUGCGAAGGCAGUUCACUAGGCGUGUAUUGACACUGAGGCUCGAAAGCGUGGGGAGCAAACAGG
rnacentral:rRNA from 1 species